rnacentral:rRNA from 1 species
UUUGGGAUAACUUCAGGAAACUGGGGCUAAUACCGGAUAGGAGCUCCUGCUGCAUGGUGGGGGUUGGAAAGUUUCGGCGGUUGGGGAUGGACUCGCGGCUUAUCAGCUUGUUGGUGGGUAGUGGCUUACCAAGGCUUUGACGGGUAGCCGGCCUGAGAGGGUGACCGGCCACAUUGGGACUGAGAUACGGCCCAG